AUUGAACGCUGGCGGCAGGCCUAACACAUGCAAGUCGAACGAGUGGCGGACGGGUGAGUAAUGUCUGGGAAAGUGCCCGGUGGAGGGGGAUAACUACUGGAAACGGUAGCUAAUACCGCAUACCAUCGGGUGUGCCCAGGUGGGAUUAGCUAGUAGGUGGGGUAACGGCCCACCUAGGCGACGAUCCCUAGCUGGUCUGAGAGGAUGACCAGCCAAACUGGAACUGAGAAACGGGCCAGACGCCGACGGGAGGCAGCAGUGGGGAAUAUUUCACAAUGGGCGCAAGCCUGAUUCAGCCAUGCCGCGGUGAUGAAGAAGGCCUUCGGGUUUUAAAGUACUUUCAGCGGGGAGGCGUUACUCGCAGAAGAAGCACCGGCUAACCCCGUGCCAGCAGCCGCGGUAAUUC
rnacentral:rRNA from 1 species